CCUACGGGCGGCAGCAGUGAGGAAUAUUGGUCAAUGGGCGGGAGCCUGAACCAGCCAAGUCGCGUGAGGGAAGACGGUCCUAUGGAUUGUAAACCUCUUUAGGCGGGGAGCAAUGCCGGGCACGCGUGCCCGGAGGGAGAGUACCCGCAGAAUAAGCAUGGGCAAACCCCGUCCCAGCAGCCGCGGUAAUACGGAGGAUGCGAGCUUUAUCCGGAUUUAUGGGGUUUAAAGGGGCCGUAGGCGGAUUUUUAAGUCAGCGGUAAAAUGUCGGGGCUCAACCCGGGCGGGCCGUUGAAACUGGGUAUCUUGAGUGGGCGAGAAGUAUGCGGAAUGCGUGGUGUAGCGGUGAAAUGCAUAGAUAUCACGCAGAACUCCGAUUGCGAAGGCAGCAUACCGGCGCCCGACUGACGCUGAGGCACGAAAGCGUGGGGAUCGAACAGGAUUAGAUACCCGAGUAGUC
rnacentral:rRNA from 1 species